rnacentral:rRNA from 1 species
GACGUAGGGGGCGAGCGUUGUCCGGAUUCAUUGGGCGUAAAGAGCGCGCAGGCGGCUUGGUAAGUCGGAUGUGAAAACCCGAGGCUCAACCUCGGGCGUGCAUCCGAAACUGCUCGGCUAGAGGUAGGUAGGGGAGAUCGGAAUUCCUGGUGUAGCGGUGAAAUGCGCAGAUAUCAGGAGGAACACCGGUGGCGAAGGCGGAUCUCUGGGCCUUACCUGACGCUCAGGUGCGAAAGCUAGGGGAGCGAACAGG